GACGAACGCUGGCGGCGUGCCUAAUACAUGCAAGUAGGACGCAGUUGCGAACGGGUGAGUAACGCGUAGGUAACUACCUAUUAGAGGGGGAUAACUAUUGGAAACGAUAGCUAAUACCGCGUCCUCGUAGCUGGCCCUGCUGUGUAUUAGCUAGUAGGUAGGGGAAGGGCCUACCUAGGCAACGCUACAUAGCCGACCGGAGAGGGGGAUCGGCCACACUGGGACUGAGACACGGCCCAUACUCCUACGGGAGGCAGCAGUAGGGAAUCUUCGGCAAUGGGGGGAACCCUGACCGAGCAACGCCGCGUGAGUGAAGAAGGUUUUCGGAUCGUAAAGCUCUGUUAUUAGGGAAGCGGUACCUAAUCAGAAAGCCACGGCUAACUACGUGCCAGCAGCCGCGGUAAUAC
rnacentral:rRNA from 1 species